UUAGGGCGAAGUGCGAGCACUGG
rnacentral:miRNA from 1 species